rnacentral:lncRNA from 1 species
CCAUAGACCAUGGGAGUCAACACGUCCUGCCCCUAAUUAUGAUCUGUGUCCGGAGUUGAUUGCAAUAGGUCAAAACCAACCCUUUUCUAUAGCUGAGGUCCUAUCUUUUAAUCAAAAAGAUAAUGCACUUUUAGCUACACCUAGGGAAUCUUUUAUUUUUUCUAUAAAUUCUGGUUUAAACCUAGCCCUACAAGACCAUGUUUUUUCUAGAUAUUUUCACAUUGG